rnacentral:rRNA from 1 species
CAGUCGCCACGGUAAUACGGAGGGGGCUAGCGUUGUUCGGAAUUACUGGGCGUAAAGCGCACGUAGGCGGCUUGGUAAGUUAGAGGUGAAAGCCCGGAGCUCAACUCCGGAAUUGCCUUUAAGACUGCCGAGCUAGCAGGUGAGAGAGGUAAGUGGAAUUCCGAGUGUAGAGGUGAAAUUCGUAGAUAUUCGGAAGAACACCAGUGGCGAAGGCGGCUUACUGGCUCAUACUGGACGCUGAGGUGCGAAAGCGUGGGGAGCAAGCAGGAUUAGAUACCCCCGUAGUCCCUGUCUCUUAUAC